AGCGAACGCUGGCGGCAGGCCUAACACAUGCAAGUCGAACGGAUCCUUCGGGAUUAGUGGCGGACGGGUGAGUAACACGUGGGAACGUGCCCUUUGGUUCGGAACAACUCAGGGAACUUUAGCUUAUACCGGAUGUGCCCUUCGGGGGAAAGAUUUAUCGCCAUUGGAGCGGCCCGCGUCUGAUUAGCUAGUUGGUGAGGUAACGGCCCACCAAGGCGACGAUCAGUAGCUGGUCUGAGAGGAUGAUCAGCCACACUGGGACUGAGACACGGCCCAGACUCCUACGGGAGGCAGCAGUGGGGAAUCUUGCGCAAUGGGCGAAAGCCUGACGCAGCCAUGCCGCGUGAAUGAUGAAGGUCUUAGGAUUGUAAAAUUCUUUCAGCGGGGACGAUAAUGACGGUACCCGCAGAAGAAGCUCCGGCUAACUUCGUG
rnacentral:rRNA from 1 species